rnacentral:rRNA from 1 species
GAGUGAUAGGAGACAUAGGGGCUAUUGGAUGUCCUGAUAGCAAUAUCGAAGCCGAUCUUCGGAAAGGUGUUAGUUGUCGCCGAAACUUCCAAGAAAUAACCCUCUUUUAAAAAAUGCACCGUACCGCAAACCGACACAGGUGGGUAGGAUGAAUAUUCUCAGGCGCGCGAGAGAACUCUCGUUAAGGAACUUGGCAUAAUACCCCCGUAACUUCGGGAGAAGGGGGGCCACCGCAAGGUGGCCGCAGAGAAAUGGCCCAGGCGACUGUUUAACAAAACACAGCACUAUGCAAACACGAUAAGUGGACGUAUAUAGUGUGAUACCUGCCCAAUGCCAAAAGGUUAUAGAGACUUGUGCAAGCUCGUCUCCUAAGCCCUGGCGAAUGGCGGCCGUAACUAUAACGGUCCUAAGGUAGCGAAAUUCCUUGUCGGGUAAGUUCCGACCUGCACGAAUGGUGUAACGAUCUGGGCGCUGUCUCAACGAGAGACUCGGUGAAAUUGUAGUAGCGGUGUAGAUGCCGUUUUACCCAUGAUAAGACGGAAAGACCCCGUGAACCUUUACUGUACUCUGGUAUUGGUUUUGAAUCUUAUGUAUGUAGAAUAGUUGGGAGACGAAGAAGCUGGGCCGUCAGGGCCAGUGGAGUCGCCAGUGCAAUACCAACUAUAUGAGAGUCGAAAUCCUAACAUUGUCCCGUAAUCCGGGAAAUGGACAUUGCCAGACUGGCAGUUUGACUGGGGCGGUUUCCUCCUAAAGAGUAACGGAGGAGUUCAAAGGUUCCCUCAGCGCAGUUGGCAACUGCGCGUAGAGCGUAAACGUAAAAGGGAGCUUAACUGCGAGACCAACAAGUCGAGCAGAUACGAAAGUAGGAGUUAGUGAUCCGGCGGUUGAAAGUGGAAUUGCCGUCGCUCAACGGAUAAAAGGUACUCCGGGGAUAACAGGCUUAUCGCUUCCAAGAGUUCAUAUCGACGAAGCGGUUUGGCACCUCGAUGUCGACUCAUCGCAUCCUGGGGCUGUAGGAGGUCCCAAGGGUUUGGCUGUUCGCCAAUUAAAGCGGUACGUGAGUUGGGUUCAAAACGUCGUGAGACAGUUUGGUCCCUAUCUGUCAUGGGCGUAAGGAUAUUUGAGAGGAGCUGCUCCUAGUACGAGAGGACCGGAGUGGACGAACCAAUGGUGUUUCGGUUGUUGUGCCAAUGGCAUUGCCGAGUAGCUACGUUCGGAAAGGAUAAGCGUUGAAAGCAUCUAAACGCCAAGCCUCCCUCAAGAUAAGAUAUCCCAAUAAGGCUCCCGGGAGAUGACCGGGUUGAUAGGCUGGGUGUGCAAGGGGAGU